GCAGAUAAGCAUAUACUAUUUCCUCUCUUG
rnacentral:piRNA from 1 species